rnacentral:rRNA from 1 species
CCUACGGGAGGCAGCAGUAAGGAAUAUUGGUCAAUGGACGAAAGUCUGAACCAGCCAUGCCGCGUGAAGGAUGAAGGCCCUCUGGGUUGUAAACUUCUUUUAUAGGGGACGAAAAAAGGGAAUUCUUUCCCACUUGACGAUACCCUAGGAAUAAGCACCGGCUAACUCCGUGCCAGCAGCCGCGGUAAUACGGAGGGUGCAAGCGUUAUCCGGAUUUACUGGGUUUAAAGGGUGCGUAGGUGGGCAGUUAAGUCAGUGGUGAAAUCUCCGAGCUUAACUCGGAAACUGCCAUUGAUACUAUCUGUCUUGAAUAUCCUGGAGGUGAGCGGAAUAUGUCAUGUAGCGGUGAAAUGCUUAGAUAUGACAUAGAACACCAAUUGCGAAGGCAGCUCACUACGGGAUUAUUGACACUGAGGCACGAAAGCGUGGGGAUCAAACAGGAUUAGAUACCCUGGUAGUCCACGCCCUAAACUAUGGAUACUCGACAUCAGCGAUACACUGUUGGUGUCUGNGNGAAGANAUAUAUCCACCUGGAGUAGANCGCAGAUAGAACGACGAAGAAGUAGAGNGNGAGAGNGCGACGACGACGACGAGGGAGGAGG